rnacentral:rRNA from 1 species
UACAGAGGGGGCAAGCGUUGUUCGGAAUUACUGGGCGUAAAGGGCGCGUAGGCGGCCCGCUAAGUCGAACGUGAAAUCCCCGGGCUUAACCCGGGAACUGCGUCCGAUACUGGCAGGCUUGAAUUCGGGAGAGGGAUGUGGAAUUCCAGGUGUAGCGGUGAAAUGCGUAGAUAUCUGGAGGAACACCGGUGGCGAAGGCGGCAUCCUGGACCGAUAUUGACGCUGAUGCGCGAAAGCCAGGGGAGCAAACGGG